rnacentral:rRNA from 1 species
CGGACGGGUGAGUAACGCGUGGAAAACCUGCCGUAUACUGGGGGAUAAUACUUAGAAAUAGGUGCUAAUACCGCAUAAGCGCACAGCUUCGCAUGAAGCGGUGUGAAAAACUCUGGUGGUAUACGAUGGUUCCGCGUCUGAUUAGCUAGUUGGUGGGGUAAUGGCCUACCAAGGCAACGAUCAGUAGCCGGCCUGAGAGGGUGAACGGCCACAUUGGGACUGAGACACGGCCCAAACUCCUACGGGAGGCAGCAG